rnacentral:Y_RNA from 1 species
GGCUGGUCUGAAGGUAGUAAGUUAUCUCACUUGAUUGUUCACAGUUUGUUACAGAUUGAACUCCUUGUUCUACUACUUUCCCCUUUCUCACUACUGCACUUUGACCAGUCAAAA